GACAGAACACUUGCUNUCACAACUUCACCAUCACAACCAUACACAUAUCACCCGCACAUUCAAAGUCAACCAAAUUCAUUGACCAAUAAUUAAUUAAAAAUACUCAAAUAAUUAAAUCAAUCAAUUUUUCACAAUAAUAAUAAUUUAAUUAUUUUCCUACUUGCGCACCCCUGUGAAAUUAAUAAUCUCACCCUUCCAUUCCACUAGAACCAUUAUUUCUAGUGCACCCCCGCUUUUACUAAAAUCACAACACAUAAUAAAACACACUUUUUCAUGUACCCCUUUUUAUCUUAAAUACACCCCCUCUCUUAAAUUUACCAACCAAGUGGACCCCAUUAAUCUUUUUAAUUUUAAACUCAAACUUUAUAAUUUUCUUUUUCUCUCUCCAAGUGGANCCCACUUGAAUUACUCUUUUCUCACAAAACUCUCUUUCUCUCUCCAUUUUUCCUACUUUACGUAACAUCUCUCCCUUCUCUCUUUCUCUUUUAUUUUCAAUACACAAAAAUUUCACUUUGCCUAUCUUUCUCUCUCAAAAACCGUGGACCCUACACCACUUUCCAUACCUACACUACAAUUUUCCAUUUCACUCUUCUCUCUCUUCCUUUCAAAGCUCACGGCCCCACACCUCUUCCCCAUUCUUUUAUUAUUUUUUUUUUCACUCACAUUCUCUACAAUUUACGUAACUCCCAUGCACUCACACCUUCAUCCCUUCUUUCUUUUUCUNCUNUGACUUUUCAACACCCAUUUUAACUCACUUUUCUUCUACUAUUCACGUAAACCAACACCUCUUCCAUUUUAUUCAACUUUUCAACCCCAAANUCCACAUCCAUUCCCCCUUUCUUUACGUCCCAGCAUGCAACCCCUUCUCCAUCUCUUUCAUUUUUUUUUUCUUCAACCCUUAUUUAACUUAUCCUUCUUUGCUUCCAAAGACCCUUCAAGUUUCUCUCUUCAUGGUUGUUGCUCCUCUUGCAGCCCCUUUCCUUUUCUUUGCAAAUUCCAUGUUUUUCCUUCAUGAUCUUAUUAUUCCCAUGCAACCAAGCUUCUUCUUUCUUCACCAUUUC
rnacentral:lncRNA from 1 species